AGAGAAAAGUAGCGGCUGACGUAGUUUCAAAAUGUCGUCCGAUCGCAACGUCUGCGUUGGUUCUCGGGUGUCGGAUCGUCAAAAGGAGCUUCUGCUGGCUUUUGUGAAAGAGCACCCACAGAUCGCGAGGCUGUCGUGCCCGCUGGAGCCGUCGUUCACGAGGGAGGACCGGGACGACAUGUGGCAGGAGCUAGUAGCGCUUUUGAACGAAGAAGUCCCUGCGCGUAACACCAGGGCCCAGUGGCAGGCCCGAUGGAGGAAUGAGCGCUACUAUUCGCAGCAGUGUCUUGCCAAACUCCGAGGGCAGCAGAGCAGCACCCGAGGCGGCCAGAUUUCGGAUUACCGCGGCCGCGUCGUGCUUGACAGGGACGAGUGUGCGAGGCCCAUAGUUCGGGUGGUCUGAAUCGGUGAGCCCUGCUCCAGCUGCUACUGGUGUGGCUGAAGAGGAUGUGGCCCAGGAUCUUUCCCGUGCCCCAACUCCUCAUGCCGCAGCUGCGAGAUGGGGGCAACCGGCAGGCCGAGGCGCUGGAGUUACUAGCCGCAAACACCAGGCGGCAGGGCCAGGCAUCAUUGGAAAGCUGCGCCAGGUUCAACUUCUCGGUGACGCGGUCCACAAAUUGCAAGGCGUUGGUACCCUCGCCCGGGCCCUCAUUGCAGCGGAAGGCACCUGCACAGUGAUUUGUAAAGACUAGUUGUACAUAUAUGUAGAUUUAUUUUUGUUCACAUCACGAGCUAUGAUACGCUGGUUUGCUUCAAUGGUGCCCUGCAAUUUUCUUUCAGUUAAUUUUCUUUUUCUGCAUAUCAGAAGCACUGAUGUGCUGUUUCAUUGUACAUAGUAAAGUGUAGAUCAAUGGUAAAUCGUGUCCUACGAUGUCAUUUCUUUUUAAUCUCGUUGUGCGAGGUGAUGCAUUCAGCAGUUUUGUAGUACAUGUGCAUAGCACAGUGUGGUUUCAUUUAUAAAUCAUGUUUUGCCAUGUCAUUUUUUAAAAUCUCAUUAUACAAAGUCAUGCAUUGAGCAAUUUUGUAGUAUGUGCACAUAGUGCACUGUAGUGUAUCCUUAUGUUUAUAGUGUAUACGUGUAGAAUAUUGUGGCACACUGUACGUUUUCUAUCGAUUUUACACAUCCUAGAAAAAAAGAAAA